GUUCGCCCAUUAAAGCGGUACGCGAGCUGGGUUUAGAACGUCGUGAGACAGUUCGGUCCCUAUCCGCUGUGCGCGUAGGAGUCUUGAGAAGGGCUGUCCCUAGUACGAGAGGACCGGGACGGACGAACCUCUGGUGUGCCAGUUGUCCUGCCAAGGGCAUGGCUGGUUGGCUACGUUCGGGAGGGAUAACCGCUGAAAGCAUCUAAGCGGGAAGCCUGCUUCGAGAUGAGGACUCCCACCCCCUUGAGGGGUUAAGGCUCCCAGUAGACGACUGGGUUGAUAGGCCGGAUGUGGAAGCCCAGUAAUGGGUGGAGCUGACCGGUACUAAUAAGCCGAGGGCUUGUCCUC
rnacentral:ncRNA from 1 species